UCCAGAGUCGAUUCAUUCUUCUCUCUCGCUGUUUGUUUGUUUUUUUUAUAGUGCCUUCGAGUUCGAACGUGAAUUUCGAUUACAACAUUAUUGUUCUCUCGCAGAGUAUCGGUUUCUCAUAUUCAGUCUCCAAAACGUCACACUUUUAGGCGAUUCUCAUCUCUCGUCUUCGAGAUUGCUCGGCUCUAUUUUACUCUCGUAUGCGCAAAUCAACAAAUCAAACUGCAGAAUGAUGUGGUGGUUCCAGAAUCUAGAAGGCAAACAAAAUUAAGUUAUGGAAAUCAUAUAUAAUUAACCUUGCUUAAGGCUGCGUUUGGUUUACGGAUUUGGAAAGGGAAAUGAAUCUCUUCCCAAAUCAUAAACCGAACACAACCUAAUGGAUAUUUUUACACAAUGGUCAGUGACUAUUUUCAAAUCUCUUCUUCUUUGUUGUUCAUGCCAGUAUUCAUAUUAAUCUUCCAUUAGCAUUGUUUCUUGUAUGAUUUAACUAAAUUGGUUGAAAUUUUUGAAAUUAUAUGUGAACACCAAUUUUGCUAACCACACUAGUUCUGUGUCGUAUUGGUUCUUUGUAUUGUGUCUGUAAAUUUGGGUUUGAUUCGCAGUCUUUUUUUUUUUUUUAAUUUAAUUUUAUUUCCAUUCUUACCCACUUAUAAUUCUUUCAGAAUCUGUGGUUGCCUUAAAACGAAUGCCCAUUGUUUUCUUUCACAAGUUUGAGUGUUGUCUUUUUUGAAAAUAUCAUGAUUAAUGAUAUUUGUGUGCUGCCAUGUAUCUUCUUGUAAUUCUUGUAAAGGAUCUUUACAGUGGUUCUAUUUGUAACCGGUGGAUAUAAUAUUGGGAUCUUGAAGUCGUGUUUUUUAUAGGGUUGACAAAUAGAUUAUUGUUCUCCCUCGUCUGUAAUAGUUGCAUACAAGCAGUGUAUUGCAUGUUUGAUUCUAACUGAUAUGUUUUGCGGUGCUGCCAAUUAUUUUAUUCACAUGAAGUUGCUGAUUUUCGUUUUUCAGAAAGUGUGCCUCAAUUAGAUUUGCAUUUAGAGAUUGUGUUUACAUUUUAUUAGGAUUCAUAUUAAUAUCUCAAGGCAGUUUGUUAUUAGAAAUGGACCUUGAUGAUUAUGAUAUGAUUUGUUUUCUUUGUCCCUCAUGACAAUUUUUAUUGCAAUAUUAAUCUAGCUCUAUAUUAUUGUUGCAACUUGGGGAUUACUUAACUAUUUGUUUGUUCGUCUUAGAUUGGAACACCAAACAAUAGUUACUGUUUUUCUGUACUUCACUAAAUUAAGGUUUUUUUUUUUUUUUUUUUUUUUCACCCUUUUGAGUUUCAGGGUAGUUUUUGGGAAAGAUCUGUUGUGACAAGGAAAAACUACAGAUUGACAAGGCUAGAACAGUACAUGAAUUAUGAGAACAUCUUUUCAUGAGGCAAACUGUAGAUAAACUUGCUUGUUUUUUCUUAGUUUAUAUGUUCAUAGUUAAUGAAUUAGAAAUUAUUAUUCUUUGAUGAUGAUUAUGUUGAUUCAUGAAUUAGAGGGCAUACUAUACAUGGUCACUGUGGAUCACAUUUGGGUUGGAAUUUGAAGGGGAGGUCAGAUGGUUGCAGUAGUGAGACUGGUGGCAGUCGUGGCGGUGGAGGAGAUGGGGUUUGUGAGGGGACCAAAAUUGUUGUUGUGGACCAAGGGAUGGUGGUCAUAGUAAACAAGUAGUAAGCUUAGGGAUGACUGGGGGAGGAUAGUGGUAGCUGCUGCUGGUGGAGAAGGGGGCCAGCGAGCGUUUGCAUGUGAUUUAAUAUACUGUUUAUUAUUUUUGUUUUGUGCGAUUUUUUUCUUCUUUUGAAGACAUGGUGAGCCUCCUUUUUGCUUUCAAAUAAAUUUCUUUAACAUGUUCUUCCUUUCAUGUUGUCUUCUCUUAUGUAGACCAGUUUAUUGCAUGAGAAAAGAAGAUCUGUUGCCUACUGUGCAUUUCUCUGCCUUAAGUUUCCUACUCAGUAACACACUUGCCAUGGAAGAGGAUGAAGUCCUUGAAAUGCGUAUUCGGCUAUAAUUAGAAUUUAUCAAAAGCAGCAUCAUGCAGUCAUUCAAAUGUUCUCUUCCUCCCAAACCAUUGCCACUGACUAUGAUAAUUACUAUAGGUAUCCAUUUGGUUAACGAGCUACUACAACAGUGAGUGGUGUUCGUAUAAUGGAAUUUCUCUAAAAUUGUAGUGAUUUGGAGUGCCAAGAACAUUCUUCUUCAUAUCUUCAAAUAUAGACCAACAAGCAAUCAUAGUUUGCAUUGACUCCCUCUAUUUCAGAAAAUUCACACAUGUAUAUAGAUGUUUCAUACUUGGCAACGUCUUACGAUUCUGUACAUGACUUGCUUCCAAAUUUCUGGUUCGAGUAAUUAGAGUUAUAAAUUUUUCUUUUAUGAUUAUCCGUAAGUUUGUUUAAUUGUUUGAUUCAAAGAACAUAUAAAGACUAUGUAGUUGGUUUUGUUGUAUAUUAAUUCAAAUCUUAUAAUAGUUGUUAAAGCUCUUUGAGCAUGUUUGUUAACCUUAAAUCUAUGGAUAACUUUUUUCGGGUAUAUAAAUUAUCACUUCCUAAUCACCACUGCCACCUGCAAUUGUGCAACGCACGAUGGGUCGAUACUAGUUGGAUCUCAAUGUUUCAGAUUAGAAAAAACGACCUCUUUUUCUCGUAGGUUCCAUUGCGACUAACUUCUUACAAAUUUAUUUGCAAUCAAAAUUAUAGUCUUAGUUUCUAAUUAACCUCCCAUAGUUUGUUUCGUUUUUCGAUAUUUUUUUUGUUUUAAUUGAUAGUAUUCAAAUUUAUAUAGGUACCUUUCUUCCAAUUUCUUUUUAUUUUUUAUUUUUUAUAUAUUAGUUAUAUGACAAAUGAAUUGUUGCAAAUUUAUAGGUGAUGGUUUUCUAAUUUGGUACAAUAUGGACUGUAGCAAAUAUAUUAGUGUCAGUUUUUAAUUUGAUUUUUGGGUAAUUAUGUAUAUUUAUAUUGAUUUUCGUAGUUCUUAUUAUUGUUUCACAAUUCUUCAUUUAAUAUUUUCUUUAUUACUUCAUAAAUUUUCCUAAAUAGUGUUUUCUUUUGGUAAAGUGCCUGAUUUUCCUUUGUCUUUUAGUUUGUUUGUUUGCUUGGAAAUCUUGAGAAAAGAAUUUGUAACUUUUGGAUCUCAAAUGCUUAAGAGUAGUUAAACGGAUAUCUUUUUCGUAGUCUCCAUUGAGACUAAGUUUCUCUACAAGAUUUCUUUGCAAUCGAAAUUAUAGUCUUAGUUUCUAAUUAAAUUUCCCCUAUUUUGUUUUGUUUUUCGAUAUUUUUUUUUUGUCUUAAUUGAUAGUAUUGAAAUUUAUAUAUGUGCAUUUCUUCCAAUUUCUCUUUUUUUCUUAAUUAUGUGACAAAUGAAGUGCUGCAAAUAUAUUAGUGAUGGCUUUUAAUUUGAUUUCUGGGUAAUUAAGUAUAUUUAUAUUGAUUUUUGUAGUUCUUAUUCCUGUCUCACAAUUCUUCAUUUAAUAUUUUCUUUAUUAUUUCAUAAAUUUUUGAAAAUAGUUUGUUUUUCUUUUGGUAAAUAUAUUAUUUAUUGCUUGAUUUUUCUUUGUCUUUUGGUUUGUUUGUUUGCCAGGAAAUCUUGAGAGAAAAAUUCAUAACUUUCGGAUCUCAAUGCUACACUUACCACCUUUUUAUACCACUUUUAGUGUACCACCUCAUGUGUCAGCAUGUCAUUGGUGCAAUGGGUCUUUCCACUCAUGUCUAUCUCCAAUGCAGGUGCUAACACAUAAGGUGGUACACUAAAUGCAGUAUAAAAAGGUUUUAAGGGUAGCAUUACUCUUAAAAUUUUCUUUAUUAUUCAUAAAUUUUCUUAAAUAGUUUUAUUUUCUUUUGAUAAAUAUAUUAUUUAUUGCUUGAUUUUCCUUUGUCUUUUGGUUUGUUUGUUUGUUUGUUUGCCAGGAUAUCUUCAGAAAGGAAUUCACAAGUUUUGGAUCUCAAUGCUUGAGAUUAGUAAAAAUGACUUCUCGUUCUCGUAGUCUCCAUUGAGACUAUGCUUUUCUCUAAGAUUUCUUUGCAAUCAAAAUUAUAUCCUUAGUUUCUAAUUAAAUUUCCCAUAUUUUGUUUUGUAUUUUGAUAUUUUUUCGUUUUAAAUGAUAGGAUUGAAAUUUACAUAUGUGCAUUUUUCUCACUCUCUUUUUCCUUAAUUAUAUGACAAAUGAAUUGUUGCAAAUUUAUCAGUGACUGUUUUUAAUUUGAUUACUUGGCAAUUGUGUAUUCUUAUUGAUUUUCGUAGUUCUUAUUGAUGUCUCACAAUUCUUUGUUUUAUAUUUUCUUUAUUAUUUCAUAUUUUCUUAAUUGUUUGGUUUUUGAAAUUUUUUCAUAUUUUAUUGUUGGUGGGAUUUAGACCCACAUCUGAAGGUAGUAUCUUGCCCCCGUGCGCGCGCGCGCACACACACACAUAAUAUAUACAAUUGUCUAACAUCAUUUUUUGUAGUUUAUGCUAAAUCUUAUGAUUCUUGAUUCAAUUUUUUUUUUUUUUUUUUUUUUUUA